rnacentral:misc_RNA from 1 species
GACGAUACUGAUGAAGAAGUACACUGUCAAAGCUUGUGGAUACUGUUCAGAAGUCCACGUGGGACCUUGGGGUCACAACGCUAAACUCUGCGGUGAAUUCAAACACCAGUGGCGGGAUGGUAAACAUGGCUGGCAAGAUGCAACAGUGGAUGAGGUAUUGCCCCCUAACUAUGUGUGGCAUGUUCAAGAUCCAAAAGGAACCCCAUUGAGAAGUGCACUGAAGAGAUUCUAUGGGAAGGCUCCAGCUGUGGUUGAAGUUUGUAUGCAGGCUGGUGCUCAAAUACCUCAGAAGUAUAAACCUAUGAUGAGGCUAGAC